ACAUACCCUUCUGGUUUCAUGGGUUCGUGCCUAAAUCCUUUCCUCUAUCUCCCACCUCCACCCACCCACAAGCACCAAAUCCCCUUUUCCUUUCUUUUGUAAAUAAUUUGAUCUUCUAAAUGAAAGAAUAUUCUAGGGAUUCUUUCUUUUCUUCCCCUUUCAUUUGCACAGUGGCAUUGGUUGGGGAUGGUUGGUCAUAGGCAACAAGAUUUUUCUGCAAAUAAUAUUUUGGCCAAAUAGAACUGAUGGAUUUUUGCAUUUUCUCUGAUUUUAUCUCAUUUGCAGCACUAAGCAUGCAGUGUGAUAAAAUUUGAUAUCUGUUUUGCAGACAAGUGGUCAUCACAUGUGAUUAGCUAUGAUGAAUAGUUCAUCCUUGUUGCAUUGAUUUUAUUUUUUUAAUAAAUUGUGUAGUAUCUCUUGUUUUCGUCUAUGUUAACAGAUGUUGUGUCAAUUCCAAAGACA
rnacentral:misc_RNA from 1 species